AGCGAACGCUGGCGGCAGGCCUAACACAUGCAAGUCGAACGGAUCCUUCGGGAUUAGUGGCGGACGGGUGAGUAACACGUGGGAACGUGCCCUUUGGUUCGGAACAACUCAGGGAAACUUGAGCUAAUACCGGAUGUGCCCUUCGGGGGAAAGAUUUAUCGCCAUUGGAGCGGCCCGCGUCUGAUUAGCUAGUUGGUGAGGUAAAGGCUCACCAAGGCGACGAUCAGUAGCUGGUCUGAGAGGAUGAUCAGCCACAUUGGGACUGAGACACGGCCCAAACUCCUACGGGAGGCAGCAGUGGGGAAUCUUGCGCAAUGGGCGAAAGCCUGACGCAGCCAUGCCGCGUGAAUGAUGAAGGUCUUAGGAUUGUAAAAUUCUUUCACCGGGGACGAUAAUGACGGUACCCGGAGAAGAAGCCCCGGCUAACUUCGUGCCAGCCGCCGCCGUAACAC
rnacentral:rRNA from 1 species